AUUCGUCUCAUUAAUUGUCGGCAGGUUACGUAGCGAAGCCGGCGCAGGUAACGCAGACUCCGUCGGAGCGCGGGUACGGUCCGCCGAGCGGCGCGGGCGUCGACCUCAACAAUACUGAACCCCUCUACGUUGACACCAACGCUGAAGCAGUGCCGUAUCGAGCUAUGUAUAAAUAUCGACCACAAAACCCUGAUGAGCUGGAGUUAAACGAAGGCGACACAGUGUACGUUCUAGAAAAAUGCGAUGACGGCUGGUACGUGGGCUCUAGUCAACGCACUGGGCGCUUUGGCACCUUCCCAGGCAAUUACGUAGAGCGCAUCUGAUAGCGCGAGAUGUCGCUGUUGCGGCGGUUGCGUCGUGCAACGUUGUGCGCGCGUCGCCCGCGCUGAUUACCGCCUGCUAGCACCGGCGGUCACCAACAUAAUGUCAACAAAUAUUAUUGGCCUAGUUACAAGUAUUUUGGAAUGCGUUCUUGUUCCAUUUACGGCUGCACUAAGCCAAAAUAAAAUACGAUCUGAAUAUCUGGUGUAAUUAAAAAAAA
rnacentral:lncRNA from 1 species